AGGUAUGAAGUACGAAGUAUCUUCUCCCUUCCAUAAAUGGCGCCACUGCUCCGUUAUUAGUCUAGUUAGACCAACGAGUUCAUUGCCACUUAUCUGAAUUCGUUGCUAGAAAAUGCUUGAGAAGAGCGAUGGACAUGGGAAUAGCACAUAUUAUAUGCUUGACAAUAAGCUAGAGACCCUUUACUGACGAUUCGAAGCAGUUCAAUAAAGCCAUAUGGAAGAUAUCUUCCUUCGACGGAUGUAACUUCUUCCAUCCAUGGAAAAGACCAACAGGAUGCGAAGUCUGGUAAUUCGUUAUUAAUACCACAUGGUAACACUAUUGAGAAUAGGUAGGUAAUUCUCAACAGGUAAUACCAAUGAAUUCAAAGUCAAGAUUCUCUAAAACACAUACUAUUUGCUGUAAUGACAUUGAACAAAUGUAAAGGCUUUCUAGAAUAUACCAUUUAAUGCCUCGGAAAAUUCAUGGGGUAUUACGAAAAAACAUACAAAAUUCCGAAUAAUGAUGCGACUGUGAUAAUAUUUAAUUGUAUGCAAUAUAAUGUACGGCUUAUUUUUAAAUGUAAAAUAAUUCCCACAUUUUUUCGUAUACGACGUAGCAAUUAUAUGUGUGUACUUACGAACACAAUAUAAUAAUCCUCAACAGAGAUAAUAAAUCAUAUUAAUAUCGA